GCAGAAAUUUUUUUUGGGAUCACUUUCGUUGGGAGCUUUGUAACCGCGCCUGUUAUUAUGCAAUAGGGAAACUUUGCCGGUGGGAAAAAGAUCACCGACUCACCGUUAAUAAAUAUUCAAUGAAACUUUCGGUUAUUACUGCUCGGUUAUUAUUAAAACCUCGUGACUGUAUUAUAUGUUUUAUCAGUGCAUAUAAAUAAUGCAGUAUUUACUGUAUUUUUCAAAGAACAGAACAUUUUUAAAGAGCAAAACACAGAGCAACUUUGUGAGGUAAGAUGAGAAAUGUCGGUUAUAUUUAUGUAUUUACAUAUAAUAGCAUAUGGGACAUGAAUUGUAUGGGACAUAUGUUUACAAUAAAUUGUAUAUUAUUUGCAACCUUAUAAAUCAGGUUCUGCUCUCAGGGUACAAUCCCUAAUAUUAUUAAGAUGUGACAUAAGUAAGUAUAAAGAUGUGAAUAAGUACUAAAGUGAAUAAGUGUGAAUAAGUACUAAAGUAUAAUUUAUAUAUUUUAUAAUACAUUCAUAUUUUAUAAUAAAUGAAUGAAAAUUUAAUAAGUAUAUACAAAUUUUUGUGCAACAAAUUGUUAUAUCCCAAUGGCAAUGUUGACCAUUCCAUGUACAGUAUUAUAUAUUUUAUACCCUCACUUUAUCCCCAGGUAAUUUUAUAAUGGUAUGAAAAGCGUAUGUAAAUCUGGGCUGUUUAACUUUAUACUAAAGCUCACAUAUAUCACCAACAUAUGGAACACAACUGAGCAAUGAAUACUGUUGAUUAUCGAAAAAAUAUUGUAUGUACAAUGCCCAACUGAUGAAUCAACUAACAAUUGACUAAUUGGUUGUCGUUUACGGAGUGGUCAUUAUUUAUGGGGAGGGGGGUUGGUAAAUGGGAGGGGGGCAAACAAAGUUUUACCCUUAUAAAUAGGGGGGGGUCAAAAAAGUUUUUGAACUAAAAUACAAUGUCUAGAGUUCUGAUUUCUAUAAUCACAAAUAGCAAAAGAAGACUCUGAAAAUUAUGCCAUUUCCAACAACCUAGAGACUGUAAAUUUUCAAAAUUUCCCCGCUCGGUGCCAACCAUGGUAGCGCCUCGUGGGAGUCAGGCCUACUAAGUUUAGCAAGCUUCCUACCCCCUGAGUGACCCAGUUGUGGUAUUUACAUAAACAUACCAUGCAAGUACACUUAGCUGAUCAGAUUUGGUCUAUCAAAGCACAAUGUAACGCUGUAUAUCCCAAAAUCUGUUUCAGAAAAUGCUCACAUUUCAGUCCUAGGGGUGGAAAAUACAAAACAUUUUCUGGGGGAGAAUACCCCAGACCCCCCCUACUAGUACAUAUGAUACCACACCAAACUUUUUGUCACCAACAACCAUCUGGCAUCUCUCCACACUCAGUAUACAGUAGUAUGGUCCCUUCCCCCAGAUAAUAAUACAUAAUAUACACCUGUCACAUAAUAUACAGUCACAUAUAUAACACAUAAUAUAUAUUUUUUAAUCAUAUAUGGUUGAAUCAUAUUCACCAGGGUAAAACAUCAUGAGCUAGAUUAAACAGAUUGUCCUAAUAUCUAACUUUACCUGCAACACACACCUGUUUCAUUGCUGUUAAUUUUCAAUCCACACUGGGGGGGGGUCAGAAAAGUUUCUACUUUUAUGAGGGGGGGACACAAAACGUUUUCCUUCAGUCUGGAGGGGGGUCAAAAAAGUUUUCAAUCCUUAUUUUGCCCAUUUACAACCACCCCAUAAAUAAUGACCACUCCCUUAUUAGAACAUAUAUAUCUUCUCGCAACCGUUUAAUGUUCUGUUUAUUAUAUUAACUUAUUCAGAGUGACAAAAAUACACAAAGACAACAUGUAAAUAAGCACGCGAAAGACCAGUACAAAAGCGAUAUUUUUUUUUAAUUAUGGUGCAAACAUAAAACUAGAAUACAUUUUACUUAUCUCAAGAUGUCUUUUAAAUGUUUUGGUUUUAUUUCCUACAUUCCGUUCAUUGCAUAUGCAAACAAAAGACCAUUUCUAUUUUCAAAACAACAACAAUAAAAAUGGCGGGAAAUUUUCGAACUUCGUAUGUCACUAGCAGGGGUGAAAUAUGGAAAAUACUCGCAUCUGGUCCCGGAUGUAGUGGCGCAUGAGUUCUACGAGUUUUAGUUUCCAGUAAAACACCAUUGUCUAUAUAAUAAAUAUAAAUAUAUGCCUUUCUUCAACACAGAUGGAAAAAUAUAGUGUGUUCAAUAGCCAUGUGAUCACUGUCCAAUCAUAUUGCUCAAUAAUGUAUCUCAAUAAUGUAUCUGUUAAUAUGAAAUGAUUACCACUUAUUCUUAAAUGACAAAAGUAGGGUACAUGCUGUAGGUUCUUAUACCCAAUAUUUUACACUGACAAUAACAUACCAUAAUCCAAGAGUGGAAACGAGAUACCAUAUUUGAAAUCACAGUAGAGAAAAUUCUGACCAAUAGACCUUAUGCAUAAUGACGUCACAAGGCUUGAAGCCUGUGAGGAAUGCUGGUCUUAGUAGUCAUAUCGCCUGGGAAAAUUAAACAAUUCAAAAUGGCCACUAUUGAAAUUUUCCUGGGUGAUGACUAAGACUAGCAUUCCUCGCGGGCAUCAAGCUUUGUGACGUCAUUGUGCAUAAGGUCUAUUGCUCCCUUCAGCACAUGAAGUAGAUAGCCCCCAACAAUAGCACAAAUGGUAGGAAAAUAUUCAUGGUCACUAUGCAUUCCUUUCAACAGCAAUGGAUGCUUUGAGCAAGCCAAAACUCUGGUACAGUAGCAAACGUUCUCCCAACACCCAUGCAUCCUCUUAACCCUUUAAGCACCCUGAUUGAUGUGCCCUACUUUAAUGUUUUACUGUGUCUAAUGCCAGACGAUUUUACUCAUUGAGUGGAGAGUGCUGCCGUUCAAUUGGUUAAUAAAUGCAAUGUCAAAACAUAACUCUCUUCCAAAAGCAGCGGUGGGAUCACAAUUUGAUAAGUACAAUGUUCAAAGGCAGGUUUCUUCUGACAGUCACAUUAGGAUCACAGUAUACUGUAGGUCUAAAAAGACAAGACUGUCUUGGUAAUAUUUGUGUCAACACAAACAUGAUUGGAUAGUAAAUGCUAUGAAUGUUCAAAGGUAGUUUUCAUCCAAAAGCAGCAGGAACACGGGUCCAAUAAGUGCAAUGUUCAAAGGUACAUGUAGUUUCCAACAGCAGCAAAAAUACGGGUGUAAUAAGUGCAAUGUUUAUUCAAGGUUAUUACUUACUGUUCAGUUACUAUCAUCUUUUUAAAUAUCUCUUUAAUUCUGUAGGCUUGAUUGUUACUACUCGUUAUCGUUUUGGUCCAGCAUUUGCAAGGUUUUUCUUUACAUUCAUACUCAAGUUACGUUGGCGUUUCUUUUUGGCUAAUUUCCUUAUGUUCAUUUUUUCCUUAUCAUCUGCUUGCCACUUUCUUUUCAUCCCUGUCUGCAGCCUUGGUUUAGGACCUGAAGGUUGAGCAGAAGAUGACUUCACACCAGAUUUUCUUCGAGAGAUUGAUGUUGGCUGAACACGUAUUCUUGACCCGUUGUGCAAGACUGGAAUAAGGUUGCUGCUUUGUUGCUUUCCGAAAUGUACAAAUGCAUUUGCAAGCGAUGCUACGGGGGAAUGGCCACGGCAUUUUGUUACUAUUUUUCGGUACGUCCUUAGGAAAUUGUAAUAACAUUUCUUAAAGUUAUCAUCUUCGUUCCUUAUUUUUAACUCGAUGUCGGCUGCAACUUCCUGAUGCAGUUUAAGAAUUUCCUUGAGGGCUACAGGUUCGUCUUCUGUAUGGCCUAGGACGGUGUCAUGCCAACGUUGCUCGUCUUCCUUUACAUCCUUUUCCUUGUUUUGCUGAGGCACCGUUUCAAUUCCAUUUACAUCUUUCUUCACAUUCAUAACGCUUUCAGAUUUUUCAUGCAGCUGAACAAACUGUCUUACUUUGAGUUGGGGAUUAUCUCCUAUUGCUAAAACAGCAAGCGCGUAUCGAUCUUGAGCGGAUCGUGGAAUAAAGUUGAUGUUACCACCUCCGUACUUUAAGGCAACCGCAGCUUGAUGUGCACAACCUGAGCCAUUUUCUCCAUGUGGACAGGUGCAAAUCCCUAAACUGGUGUCAACUUGGUAAGUGAGGUCCUUGUUCUUUCUGCUUGUAACAUUAAAAUGAAAAGGAUUUUCGAUGUCCCUGGUGAUGUUGUCAACUGGCACUGUACUCGCAUUUCUUCCAAAGCAUCGCGCAGUAACAUGAAGAUUUUGUGGCUUACCGAACGCAAGAGCUAACAGUUUCCUUUGGAAAUACAUCUCCAAAUCCUCAGUUAUGAAUUUCACUAAUUCUAACAAGUUAUACGCUCUGAUACGCUUUAAGAUGACACAUUUAAAAACGAAAAUCAUAGAUUCCGUAAAGUUGUCUGUGUUAUUUCCUCUUGUCAGAAGUCCUUUUCUAAAACAAAGUGCCCAUUGUUCUUUUCUUUCUAACGCAUUUUUAAUGUAGUCAUAGAAAUUACGAUACUUUAACACCGUUUUGUCUGUCUGCAUCUGGGUUUCAUUGACAUGAAAUUUUUCUACUGUGUCCGCGAAUACCAGUCCUUGGCAAAGGGACAUUAAGUGCUGCCGAUCAUGUUUAUUAAUGGCAUUGGUGCUAUCCAAAAGACAUCUCCAAACAGCUUGAAGGAAGUGAAAUAUACAUAGAAGAAGAAUGGAUGAACGCCAGUAUGCACGCAAAGCAUUUCUCUGAGCACUGUCGUCAUCGGUGAGAAAAAUUGAAGGACCAGAUGCUGUCCCCUUUCCACCAAAUGCAUGUUGCGGUAGCACUGAUACAACGUUCUGUAAGCAACUAUUCAAAGUGGAUUCUGACUGGCUGGAAGUUAUCCACACUGCUAAAGGAAGGGCACCAGAUGGAUGAUGAGUACACAUAAAAUAAACUGGGUUAUUGUGUCGAUCAAGACUCCCAGCUGCAUCCAUGAAAGCCAUUUCACCAGCCUGCCGUAACUUGUGUACACGUGACAUCAUUGGAGUACAUAUGGAAAUGAUCAAUGGUUUCUCCUGCUUUACUUCGUUGUUAUAUCUUUGUAGAAAGAUUUUGCCACCAUCAUUCAUUUUGUCUUUAUUAUAUGUUGUAAUAUACUCUUGCAGAUAGUCAAACAUUUCAGAUCCAUUACAUGGUCCCUUUGUUGUUUUUCUCCACUUCUCAUAGAGAUUAUUAACGUCUAUCAAGGAUGGGCAGUACUUUCUAUCAGCUAAGAGAAGAACGGUAACAGGAUCUUUCAUUAACUUUGUUUCGUGAUAAUGGAACGACUCCGACGCAGACAUGCCCUGCUCAAAAUAAGUUAGAAAUUUGUGUCUCGUUGCAGGUAAGAUUUGGCUAAAGCUGGUAAGGUGAUGACAGUCCACGCUGUGGUUGUGAUUCCACCAUAAUUCCACAUUACAGACAAUUCCUUCCACUGCUUUAGUACGCACUUUUAUUACCAUUUUACUCUCACAAUCUGUUUUUUUAUCGCGGAUGUUGGAUAGUAAAUGGAUCUUGUCAAUGACCUCGGCAUUAGCAGCAUGAGUGUCGUGACGCUCCUGCCUACGUUUCAUAGCUUCGGCUUUCGCUUCUUUUUGGUUCCUGCUCAGUUCCUUUCUUUUACACUCGCAAAUAUACCACUGGGCAAAUGAAACUCUGACACCUUUUCUCUUAUAGCCACCUUGAGAAUUGUAUUUAAUGUUUGACCACAAACAUUAAUUUUACCACAAACACGCCACAAUCGACUGAGUUCAGCUGUUGUUCAAUGUCGUUCGCUGGAAUUGCAAAAAAAUCCCACUCGUCAAUACUAUACUUUUGUCCUUGCAAUUUCAUGGCACAUGCAAUGAAAUUGCCAACGCGUUGGAAUGCCCUUUUUGCCCCUAUUCCUUGGUAGAGAGAAUCCAGAUAAACCAUUCGUUUUAUUGCUGGGUAUACAUCAACUAAACACCAGUGAUCUCCGUGUAAAGAAGGACAGAGUAUUACUUCACUAUCUAAAAUAUCAGGGUAUAGUUGAUCAUACUGGCAUUUUAAAAAUAUCUCAAGUGAAGGUUCUGUCAUACGUUGGAGAACUUCCAUGUUGCAGGUGUGGACUUGUUUUCCCUGCUUAACUGCUUCUUCUUCAAUCAUCAGGAAAAUCUUGUUCACCAAAAAGUUAGAUAACAGGGAAUCAGAAAGCUUGUGUGAUGCAGGAAGUAGGCGAAUGAUGUCUGUCGGAUCCCAUUCUUUUACUCUUUCACUUACGCUAAUCUGUACGCCUGCGAAUGCUGUCUCUUGUGCGCGUUUUCUCUCCUCUUCAGUUAGGGAUACAUACAUGUUUGGACGUACAGCAUUUCCAUCUAUCCUGGUUUUGAACAAUCCUGGUUUGGCGCUUCGAGAAUCUAUCGGUACAUAGUAAUCGGGUGGGACCAUUACUUUUAUUGUGAUAUCUUCUUGCUCUUUAUCAGUUGAUGAACUUGUCGGUAGUUUUGUGACUUUAGUAAUUACUACAUCGUUGGUCGAAUUGUCGUCACAUACAGGCAUCUUCAAUGGAGAUGAUGAAGGAUUAGGAAUUGUUGAUAUUUUAAUUUUGGGAGCUGGACUCAUGGAGGUCGUUUUAGAGCUUGAAACUGCGGUUCUUUCAGCUCUUGAAUGCACUUGUGCAGGUGUUGACGAUGACAUAGAUCUGUUAAAAGUUGAUGUGAGUGAUGAAGAGUGAAGUGGUUCUUCUUUUGUGAACUCUGCAGUUAUUGGCGUGUCUGAAGAAAAGCUGUCUGGCGCAGGGCCAACAGAUGUCGACAAAGAGAGUGGAUUUUCAUCUCUACGAGGUAUCUGUGAAGGAGCAGCCUUGCGUUUCUUGGAUAAAGACAAAGAGAGCCUUUCGGCAGAGCUGCUGGAAGUACCCCUUGCAACUGCUUUCGCAUAAGUGUUAAUAUUUAAUACGGGUUCUUUAUCCUUUCUACAUGUAGGUACUGGUUUUGUAAACACGACGUUUGCACUGGUGUGGCCUUGUUGCUCCUUUUUCUCGUAAAAAAGCAUGCAUGCAUUCUGGUGAUAUGCGGCUAACUGUGAUGUUUCUUUAACAACGGUAUCACUUGUAUAAAACCAUCUCCCGCUUCUGUUGACAUAGCAAACAUAAUGCCCGGACGAUAUUUGGUUUCCUUCAGGUACAAUUAUUGAAGAAAGGGUGUAUUUGGCUGUCGAUGUUGCACUUCUGCCAUCUUUCAAAUCGCGUUGAUACUCAGGUAUGGUUAGUUCGGGUGGAUAAUCUAUUUCCUUGUUUAUUUUUUGGCCAUUUGCGUCAAAGCGCAAUAACUGAAUGCAUAAUACCUGUGGUGGAUUCCGCACUAAAGUUCUUUUCCAGGCAUCAGUUCCUUUACCACACCUUAAUAAUAACCAAAACGUGUAUGUGGUACAAAUUUAUGUGUUAGUACUUUACGUUAAUUUAACGCUGUACACUCUAAAAAUGAUGGAAAGUUGGCUUUAGUAGUAAUAUAAUUGUUUUAACACUCUAAGUGUUCCCCAUUACACUCUCCAUUUUAAGGUGGCCUACUGUUUUUCGGCAAGAGGAAAAUAUGAUUUAGGGUGGAAUUUUUGAACAAUUGUGACUUGUUAAAAUGCAAAUAGUAGUGAGUUGUGAAAUUUACUAUCCGAGAGCAGAAAUUUUUACCAAAAAUGACCACUUCCGUUGCUAUGGUAACCAUCACGUCUCAAUAUGGCCGAUUUUCUGACAUUAAUUAAACUAAUUUAACUUGAAAAAAAAACGGUGGGUGUCUACACUGGCAAUUUUUUUAAAAGUUAAUAAUUACUUUCGCUAUUAUACGUCAUGGUUAGGCCACAUAAAAUAAAUUCCUUGAUUCUCAUCACCGCCCGACUGUAUUUUAAGAGCCGCGUGAAAUUUUUUUAUAUUUUGUUAUACAAUAUAAAUGUACCGCCCGACAAAAUAUUUUAUAUUCUAUAUUGGGUUUUUUAUAUUUUAUAUUGGGUUUUUAGUGCCAUUUUAAACUGCCAAUUUCAAACAAAUAGAACCUUGAAAGAAAUUUCAUUGCAUUUUAACGGAACUUCGCAUUCAGUUCAAGGGCCAGUCAUUGUUCGUGGAGGAAUAUGUUUAUUUCAGUUUGUGACACUUUUAUUUAUUGAUAUAUAUUAAAUUAUAUAAAUAUAAAAUAUAAACCUCCCGCCUCUUCGACAUUUUCAAAGUGUAGUGAUGAGAAUCAAGGAAUUUAUUUUAUGUGGCCUUACCAUAGCAAUGGAAAUGACGUCAUUUUUGGUUAAAAAUAUUAUACUCUUCAGAUAGUAAUUUAUAGGACUUAAUAUUAUUUGCUUUUCACAAUUGUUCAAAAAUCCAAAUCAUCAAUUUUCCUCUUGCCGAAAACAGCAGGGAGCCACCUUAACUACAACAACAAAUCACGUGCCCCUCCAGACCUAUAACCUAUUUGAAUAGUGACACAAAACACCUGUGACGUCACAGUGCAGGGCAUAAUAACUGUAUUUGCACCUGCUUAAUACUGGUGGCAUCACAGUAUAUGUACUAACUGUACCUUUCACAGUUGUAGGGCUGUUCCAAUUGAACUGGUGCAGAGUAUUGGUCCAACAAAUCUUGUAAAGGUAAUCCCUGGUAAAUUGUGGUUAAAAGAACAAAUGAGUUUCCAGUUAUUGAAUAAUGUUCAAUUGAGUUUUGUUUAUUAAUGUAAUAAAAUGUGUCCACGUGUGUAUUUACCUAUUAUGCUGUUCAAACUAUUUUAUCUACCGUAACAUUAAGGAAAAAUUGCUGGUGGUAAAUACUCAAGAACUGAGAGGUCAUUUUAAAAUGCACUAAAUUAUUUUGUUACUUUUUAACACUAAACACAGUCCUUUUCUGAACUCCAAGGUGGCUAAUUUACACAUCCAAAUAAUCUCACACUACCUCACAAAGAAAUUAUGAAUGCUUGCAUGGAUCUAGCACUGACAAUGACUUUCUAUUUCUUUGGGUAUAUAUAUAUACCUUUGUUAUAGAUAAUGGAAGCACUGUCUCAGUGGCACAGUUACUUGUAGUAUUGUCACACUCGCUGCAUAAAAUUUCACUCCUGAGUGAGAAGCAAAAUGAAUUCAGAAAUUCAAGGCUACAAUAUCGUGGUAUAAGAUCCGUUGAUUGCAGAUGAUGAGCUUUUUCCUCCAAAAUCCUCCAAAAUGAUUGGAAAAAUUCGGCUGAACAUUGCUGUGAACCUUUGACAAAACCACUCAUAAUUUGGGGCAAGCAAGAAAGCAGUGCUGCUGGUCGAACAACUUGUGGUGCUCCAUUGUACAGUUUGAAGACAUUCAUUGUACUGCAUAUUAUACAUUUUGUUCCUGAAUGAAUAUCAAAUGAAUACCAGAUAUCAUUACAAAAUAUUACUAUUACCAUGUAUUUUUGUCAUUGUCAUCUUAAAUCUUUUUUACAAAUAUAAUGUGAACAAUGUAGAUUACCAUUACUAUCAUAAAAUAGUGAUUAUGUUAUGUAUAUUUAUUGGUUAAAUUUUCUCUGCUCGUAUUAGAUAUGGGGGAGCCUCUCCCACUGUUCGUCAGCAGAGAAGAAUUUGUAAUUCUUCCAAAUCUUUAUAUUAGAAACUGUUGGAGAGGGGGGAUUUUGCCACAAAUCAACAAUCUUAUAAUUCUUAUCUCACCUCCCCCCCCCCCCUGGUAUUUAUAUGGUGCUUGCUAUGCACCUGCUCGUUAAGGCCAAACCACCCUAUUUUGUUAUUUUUGUCGAUGUUACUCAUACAGGUUAGAAGCGCAGGAUCAAAAAUUUCUAAUGUAAUUUUCUGGGAU